GAGAGCCGUAUACGGGAAAUCUGUAUGUACGGUUCAUGGGAAGGGUUGAAGCGGGUAACCGCUUCUUCCUAUUCUGU
rfam:Candidatus Altiarchaeales archaeon WOR_SM1_86-2 WORSMTZ_66209, whole genome shotgun sequence.